rnacentral:tRNA from 1 species
GCAAGCAUAGUUUAAACCAAACAUUAGACUGUGAUUCUAAAAAUAGGAGUUAAACCCUCCUUGCUUACC